rnacentral:rRNA from 1 species
GACGAACGCUGGCGGCGUGCCUAAUGCAUGCAAGUCGCACGCGACACCUUCGUGUGCUGAGUGGCGAACGGCUGAGGAACACGGUGGUACCUGUCCGGGAGUGGGGGACAACACGGCGACAGCGGUACUAAUCCCUCAUACGCGCUUAGGAGGAAAGCCUAAAGGCGCUCCCGGGUGGCACUGCGGACCAUCAGGUUGUUGGUGGGGUAACGGCCUACCAAGCCAAUGACGGGUCGCUGGUCGGUGAGGACGACCAGCCAGACUGGGACUGGGACACGGGUCAGACUUCUACGGGAGGGGGCAGAAAGGAAGUCUAGGCAAGCGGCGUAAGCCUGACCGAGCAACGCCGCGUGAAGGAAGACGGCCUUCGGGGUGUAAAAUGCUUUUGAUAGGGAUGAUAAAUGACAGUACCUGGAGAAUAAGCCCCGGCUAACUCUGUG